CCCUUAGAUGUUCUGGGCCGCACACGCGCUACACUGAAGGAGGCAGCGUGUACUCCUGGAUCGAAAGAUUUGGGUAACCCGCGAAUCUCCUUCGUGCUAGGGAUUGAGGUUUGCAAUUAUCCUUCAUGAACGAGGAAUUCCCAGUAAGUGCAAGUCAUAAGCUUGCGCUGACUACGUCCCUGCCCUUUGUACACACCGCCCGUCGCUACUACCGAUUGAAUGAUUUAGUGAGGACUUCAGACUGGGACCGAUGCGGCUUUCGGGCUGCGUCGGUAUUCUGGAAAGAUGUCCAAACUGUAUCAUUUAGAGGAAGUAAAAGUCGUAACA
rnacentral:rRNA from 1 species